UGAGACAAGGGAUUUUAGGGAUCUGCUUCCAUCUCCAUUUCUCUCUCAGAAACCUUGCUCUCCCGUCUCCUCUCUGUCUGUCGCCCAUAAUCAGAUCCACUACCUCUCUCUCUCCUCUCCUUCUUCUCCCUCUCUCACCGUGUGGGUCUCUCCUCUCUUCCAUCCAAGGAAGAUGGAAGAACUGUCAGUAGAGCUUCCAACACAGACUAUUCCUCACUGUGAACCAUCAAAGCAUUCUGAUCUGCAAUUUGACCGGCUGCAACCAUCAGAUGAAGAUUUAGAUCAAGAUAAAAAGUUGGAAUUUGGACAAUUUGUUGCACGAGAGACCACACUGGAUGAAGAAUACUGGGCAGUCUUCGGUCAUUGGGUCAAGGUGGAGCAUCCUGUUUAGUUUCUAAGGGGAUACAAUGAUUUGGUGUUGUUUAUCUCAGACAGUGGGCUUGCAGACUUGUUUGUUGAAAGCAAAGUCUGCUAAUUCAGCAAGAAUAGAUGGGGAAUUCUGCAAAUUGGUUGUCCCCAAAUUUGAACCCGCAGACAAAAUUCUCAUCAGUGCGCUCAGAAGCAGAUCGCAAAUGAAAGAUCAAAGAGGGUGUGGAAGAUGUUCAUUCCCAGAAGAAAUGAGUUGUGAAGAUCUUAAUGAUACACUGGUACAAGGGAUCAUAGAUACGUAAUUUAUUUUGGUCAUUCCACUUGAAAGCUUAGCUGCUGCAAGAACCGUAAGAAAGUUUUUAGAAUUUUUUGCCAACUGCUAAAACUACAAUGGAGUUUGCAGGACAUGUAUUUUGUCAUGUUGUGCGCACAGACAACUGGAUGCCGCUUAUGUUUCUUAUGCAGACUAUAUUUUGCGAUUAGAACUUUUGUAAACAGAGUUAAGUUCAUCAUCUUGAUUGUACAGUGGCUCUUGAUGUCAGCUUAAUUAAUGAAAACCAAACUGCUUAUCAGCUCACUUCACCCAU